CAGACGGGUGAGUAACGCGUGGGAACGUACCCUUUUGGUUCGGAACAACACAGGGAAACUUGUGCUAAUACCGGAUAAGCCCUUACGGGGAAAGAUUUAUCGCCGAAAGAUCGGCCCGCGUCUGAUUAGCUAGUUGGUGGGGUAACGGCCCACCAAGGCGACGAUCAGUAGCUGGUCUGAGAGGAUGAUCAGCCACAUUGGGACUGAGACACGGCCCAAACUCCUACGGGAGGCAGCAGUGGGGAAUAUUGGACAAUGGGCGCAAGCCUGAUCCAGCCAUGCCGCGUGAGUGAUGAAGGUCUUCGGAUUGUAAAGCACUUUAAGUUGGGAGGAAGGGCAGUAAAUUAAUACUUUGCUGUUUUGACGUUACCGACAGAAUAAGCACCGGCUAACUCUGUGCCAGCAGCCGCGGUAAUACAGAGGGUGCAAGCGUUAAUCGGAAUUACUGGGCGUAAAGCGCGCGUAGGUGGUUUGUUAAGUUGGAUGUGAAAUCCCCGGGCUCAACCUGGGAACUGCAUUCAAAACUGACAAGCUAGAGUAUGGUAGAGGGUGGUGGAAUUUCCUGUGUAGCGGUGAAAUGCGUAGAUAUAGGAAGGAACACCAGUGGCGAAGGCGACCACCUGGACUGAUACUGACACUGAGGUGCGAAAGCGUGGGGAGCAAACAGGAUUAGAUACCCUGGUAGUCCACGCCGUAAACGAUGUCAACUAGCCGUUGGGAGCCUUGAGCUCUUAGUGGCGCAGCUAACGCAUUAAGUUGACCGCCUGGGGAGUACGGCCGCAAGGUUAAAACUCAAAUGAAUUGACGGGGGCCCGCACAAGCGGUGGGGCAUGUGGUUUAAUUCGAAGCAACGCGAAGAACCUUACCAGGCCUUGACAUCCAAUGAACUUUCCAGAGAUGGAUUGGUGCCUUCGGGAACAUUGAGACAGGUGCUGCAUGGCUGUCGUCAGCUCGUGUCGUGGGAUGUUGGGUUAAGUCCCGUAACGAGCGCAACCCUUGUCCUUAGUUACCAGCACGUAAUGGUGGGCGCUCUAAGGAGACUGCCGGUGACAAACCGGAGGAAGGUGGGGAUGACUCAAGUCAUCAUGGCCU
rnacentral:rRNA from 1 species